rnacentral:tRNA from 1 species
GACCCAUUAGCUCAGUUGGUAGAGCAUCUGACUUUUAAUCAGAGGGUCGNNCCUGACUUUUAAUCAGGGUGUCCCGCGUUCGAGUCGCGGAUGGGUCACCA